CAUCAAAAUGCUUUGAUAAGUACUCAUCUCUAUUGUCCAUGUACAACACCUUGAUCUUGCACUCAUAUUAUUUUUUCUACAAAUGUAUUAAAAUCCUUAAACCUUAAAAAGUACUCAUUUUUGGAUUUGAUGAUUUUAUUUUCUUCCAAUUGAUGGCAUCUUCAUUGAUCUACAAACAUCCGAAUGCACAAUCUCCAACAAUUUGUUUGCAAGUAUUGCAAUUCUACUUGAAAAUGAGGUCUUUUGUUGUUUGCUUUAGAUAUAACCUUUACAAGCAAGAAGCAUAGAAUUUUUACAUGAUUGGCUAAGAUCAAAGCUACUUACUAUGGAUUAGAGUUCUUUCAUGCCUUUAA
rnacentral:lncRNA from 1 species